UCGAGAAUCUUUCGCAAUGCCCGAAAGGGUGACGAAGCGACGCCGCGUGCGGGAAGAAGGCCUUCGGGUUGUAAACCGCUGUCGGGAGUUAAGAAAUGCAAGGAUGUUAAUAGCGUUCUUGCUUGACUAAGGCUCCGGAGGAAGCCACGGCUAACUCUGUGCCAGCAGCCGCGGUAAUACAGAGGCGGCAAGCGUUGUUCGGAAUUAUUGGGCGUAAAGAGCACGUAGGCGGCUGUGUAAGUCGGUUGUGAAAGCCUUCCGCUCAACGGAAGAACGGCAUCCGAUACUGCAUGGCUUGAGUGUGGGAGGGGAGAGUGGAACUUCUGGUGGAGCGGUGAAAUGCGUAGAUAUCAGAAGGAACACCGGCGGCGAAGGCGACUCUCUGGUCCAUAACUGACGCUGAGUGUGCGAAAGCUAGGGGAGCAAACGGGAUUAGAUACCCACGUAGUCCCUGAGCGGGCUGGCAAGGCGCAU
rnacentral:rRNA from 1 species